ensembl:snoRNA SNORA70 Small nucleolar RNA SNORA70
CCGCAGCCAAUUAAGCCGGCCGUGCCCCGCCCCCCGGGGCCCGGCGCGCAAUGGCUGCGCACAGAGACCCCUCCCCCCGGCUGUGUAGGGACCCCCCCCGUGGGGGGCACCCAAAGGGGCCGGGGGGACAAAA